rnacentral:rRNA from 1 species
GACGAACGCUGGCGGCGUGCUUAACACAUGCAAGUCGAACGGAAAGGCCCUGCUUUUGUGGGGUGCUCGAGUGGCGAACGGGUGAGUAACACGUGAGUAACCUGCCCUUGACUUUGGGAUAACUUCAGGAAACUGGGGCUAAUACCGGAUAGGAGCUCCUGCUGCAUGGUGGGGGUUGGAAAGUUUCGGCGGUUGGGGAUGGACUCGCGGCGUAUCAGCUUGUUGGUGGGGUAGUGGCUUACCAAGGCUUUGACGGGUAGCCGGCCUGAGAGGGGGACCGGCCACACUGGGACUGAGAUACGGCCCAGACUCCUACGGGAGGCAGCAGUGGGGAAUAUUGCACAAUGGGCGGAAGCCUGAUGCAGCAACGCCGCGUGCGGGAUGACGGCCUUCGGGUUGUAAACCGCUUUCGCCUGUGACGAAGCGUGAGUGACGGUAAUGGGUAAAGAAGCACCGGCUAACUACGUG